GGUUGUGGCUCAGCGGUAAAGCACUCGCCUAGCAUGUGUGAGGCCCUGGGUUCGAUUCCCAGCACCA
rnacentral:tRNA from 1 species